CCCUACUGCUAUCGGGGUGGGACUAAGACAUGCGAGUCGGGCGUCUCUAGUUAUGGUGAGACGCGGCAGACGGCUCAGUAACACGUGGCUAACCUACCCUCAGGACAGGGACAAACCCGGGAAACUGGGGCUAAUACCCGAUAGGCGAGGGCGCCUGGAAUGGUUCUUCACCCAAAGGGCUUUGGAAGCAUGCUUUUCAAAGUCGCCUGGGGAUGGGGCCGCGUCCGAUCAGGUUGUUGGUGAGGUAACGGCUCACCAAGCCUAUAACCGGUACGGGCCGUGAGAGCGGUAGCCCGGAGAUGGGCACUGAGACAAGGGCCCAGGCCCUACGGGGCGCAGCAGUCGCGAAAACUCCGCAAUGCACGAAAGUGUGACGGGGCUACCCCGAGUGCCGUCCGCUGAGGAUGGCUUUUCCUCGGUGUAACUAGCCGGGGGAAUAAGGAGAGGGCAAGACUGGUGUCAGCCGCCGCGGUAAUACCAGCUCUCCGAGUGGUAGGGAUGAUUAUUGGGCUUAAAGCGUCCGUAGCCGGCUUAGCAAGUCUCCCGUUAAAUUCAGCGACCUAAUCGUUGAGCCGCGGGAGAUACUACUAGGCUAGGAGGCGGGAGAGGCCGACGGUACUUCCGGGGUAGGGGUGAAAUCCUAUAAUCCCGGGCGGACCACCAGUGGCGAAGGCUGUCGGCUAGAACGCGCUCGACGGUGAGGGACGAAAGCUGGGGUAGCGAACCGGAUUAGAUACCCGGGUAGUCCCAGCCGUAAACGAUGCGGGCUAGGUGUUGGGGUGGCUACGUGCCACUUCAGUGCCGCAGGGAAGCCAUUAAGCCCGCCGCCUGGGGAGUACGGCCGCAAGGCUGAAACUUAAAGGAAUUGGCGGGGGAGCACCACAAGGCGUGAAGCUUGCGGUUC
rnacentral:rRNA from 1 species